rnacentral:lncRNA from 1 species
AGACUGGAUUUUUGCCUGACUACGGUGCUCAGCCUUCUAGACAAUAGUUAUGCUAAGGGAUUAUCUUUUAACAUUGUGCAGUUAUCUCCUUUGUUUGUUUUCUUUUUUCAUUAUUCACAUAAGCCAAGGGAAAUGAAAAGCAUCUUAUUUCAGGCAAAAAGGCCUGUGAAUGAUUAACUCUGGUUCCAUGCGUUGGGACUUUGCAUAGCAACCCCGUGGCUUGCAACGACAAAAAAGCUCAAGGCAGGAACAGCAGCCCAGGGACCUGAGACCAGCGUUCUCAAAUGAAGCCAGAUCUGCUGUUAGAGGAGAAUUCUUCUGUCCUAGCUGUGUCUCUGUGAUCUGUGGAUGAGGGUGGGAAAGCACCACUCAGUCAAUUGGGGUGUACAAAAUGGAGUUUGAGAAGGUCUCACAUCCAGGUUGUUUUGAAGCAAAGUCCAAGCAUUGUAUCACUUCAUCUGCAAAUAUUUCAAUAAGUACCCAAAAGUGGUUGGACUGAGUCCCAUGAAGCCAGAUCACUUCUGACUGCAAGGAGCUUGGAAAAGCAAGUAUCUGGAUCUUUUACCAGCUAAAUUUGGAGUCUAAGACAGAAGAAAACUGCAGAAGAUUGCUACCCGUUCAAGUAGAAAAACUCAAGCUGGAAAAUUAGCACAGCUGGAAAGGCUAAUGAACUUAGCAUUUAAAAAUGCUUGUAGAGCCGCCAGAUCUACCCCUCAAUCCCAGAG